rnacentral:rRNA from 1 species
GGGUUGUGAGGUUAAGUGACUAAGCGUACACGGUGGAUGCCUAGGCAGUCAGAGGCGAUGAAGGGCGUGCUAAUCUGCGAAAAGCGUCGGUAAGGUGAUAUGAACCGUUACAACCGGCGAUACCCGAAUGGGGAAACCCAGUGUGUUUCGACACACUAUCAUGUCAUGAAUACAUAGUGGCAUGAGGCGAACCGGGGGAACUGAAACAUCUAAGUACCCCGAGGAAAAGAAAUCAACCGAGAUUCCCCCAGUAGCGGCGAGCGAACGGGGAGGAGCCCAGAACCUGAAUCGGCUUGUGUGUUAGUGGAAGCGUCUGGAAAGUCGCGCAGCAAAGGGUGAUAGCCCCGUACACUAAAAUGCACAGGUCGUGAGUUCGAUGAGUAGGGCGGGACACGUGACAUCCUGUCUGAAUAUGGGGGGACCAUCCUCCAAGGCUAAAUACUCCUGACUGACCGAUAGUGAACCAGUACCGUGAGGGAAAGGCGAAAAGAACCCCGGCGAGGGGAGUGAAAUAGAACCUGAAACCGUGUACGUACAAGCAGUGGGAGCACCUUCGUGGUGUGACUGCGUACCUUUUGUAUAAUGGGUCAGCGACUUAUAUUUUGUAGCAAGGUUAACCGUAUAGGGGAGCCGUAGGGAAACCGAGUCUUAACUGGGCGAAUAGUUGCAAGGUAUAGACCCGAAACCCGGUGAUCUAGCCAUGGGCAGGUUGAAGGUUGGGUAACACUAACUGGAGGACCGAACCGACUAAUGUUGAAAAAUUAGCGGAUGACUUGUGGCUGGGGGUGAAAGGCCAAUCAAACCGGGAGAUAGCUGGUUCUCCCCGAAAGCUAUUUAGGUAGCGCCUCGUGAACUCAUCUUCGGGGGUAGAGCACUGUUUCGGCUAGGGGGCCAUCCCGGCUUACCAAACCGAUGCAAACUCCGAAUACCGAAGAAUGUUAUCACGGGAGACACACGGCGGGUGCUAACGUCCGUCGUGAAGAGGGAAACAACCCAGACCGCCAGCUAAGGUCCCAAAGUCAUGGUUAAGUGGGAAACGAUGUGGGAAGGCAUAGACAGCCAGGAUGUUGGCUUAGAAGCAGCCAUCAUUUAAAGAAAGCGUAAUAGCUCACUGGUCGAGUCGGCCUGCGCGGAAGAUGUAACGGGGCUAAACCAUGCACCGAAGCUGCGGCAGCGACGCUUAGGCGUUGUUGGGUAGGGGAGCGUUCUGUAAGCCGUUGAAGGUGGCCUGUGAGGGUUGCUGGAGGUAUCAGAAGUGCGAAUGCUGACAUAAGUAACGAUAAAGCGGGUGAAAAGCCCGCUCGCCGGAAGACCAAGGGUUCCUGUCCAACGUUAAUCGGGGCAGGGUGAGUCGACCCCUAAGGCGAGGCUGAAAAGCGUAGUCGAUGGGAAACAGGUUAAUAUUCCUGUACUUGGUGUUACUGCGAAGGGGGGACGGAGAAGGCUAGGCUAGCCGGGCGACGGUUGUCCCGGUUUAAGCGUGUAGGGGGUGUGACCUGGUAAAUCCGGUUGCAUAUCAACCCUGAGGCGUGAUGACGAUGCACUACGGUGCAGAAGUAGUUGAUGCCCUGCUUCCAGGAAAAGCCUCUAAGCUCCAGGUAACAUUGAAUCGUACCCCAAACCGACACAGGUGGUCAGGUAGAGAAUACCAAGGCGCUUGAGAGAACUCGGGUGAAGGAACUAGGCAAAAUGGUGCCGUAACUUCGGGAGAAGGCACGCUGGCAUGUAGGUGAAGUCCCUUGCGGAUGGAGCUGAAGCCAGUCGAAGAUACCAGCUGGCUGCAACUGUUUAAUAAAAACACAGCACUGUGCAAACACGAAAGUGGACGUAUACGGUGUGACGCCUGCCCGGUGCUGGAAGGUUAAUUGAUGGGGUCAGCCGCAAGGCGAAGCUCUUGAUCGAAGCCCCAGUAAACGGCGGCCGUAACUAUAACGGUCCUAAGGUAGCGAAAUUCCUUGUCGGGUAAGUUCCGACCUGCACGAAUGGCGUAAUGAUGGCCAGGCUGUCUCCACCCGAGACUCAGUGAAAUUGAACUCGCUGUGAAGAUGCAGUGUACCCGCGGCAAGACGGAAAGACCCCGUGAACCUUUACUAUAGCUUGACACUGAACAUUGAGCCUUGAUGUGUAGGAUAGGUGGGAGGCUUUGAAGCGUGGACGCCAGUCUGCGUGGAGCCAUCCUUGAAAUACCACCCUUUAAUGUUUGAUGUUCUAACUCGGCCCCAUAAUCUGGGGUGAGGACAGUGUCUGGUGGGUAGUUUGACUGGGGCGGUCUCCUCCCAAAGAGUAACGGAGGAGCACGAAGGUUAGCUAAUCACGGUCGGACAUCGUGAGGUUAGUGCAAAGGCAUAAGCUAGCUUGACUGCGAGAGUGACGGCUCGAGCAGGUACGAAAGUAGGUCUUAGUGAUCCGGUGGUUCUGAAUGGAAGGGCCAUCGCUCAACGGAUAAAAGGUACUCCGGGGAUAACAGGCUGAUACCGCCCAAGAGUUCAUAUCGACGGCGGUGUUUGGCACCUCGAUGUCGGCUCAUCACAUCCUGGGGCUGAAGUAGGUCCCAAGGGUAUGGCUGUUCGCCAUUUAAAGUGGUACGCGAGCUGGGUUUAGAACGUCGUGAGACAGUUCGGUCCCUAUCUGCCGUGGGCGUUGGAAGAUUGAGAGGGGUUGCUCCUAGUACGAGAGGACCGGAGUGAACGCACCACUGGUGUUCGGGUUGUCAUGCCAAUGGCAUUGCCCGGUAGCUAAGUGCGGAAAAGAUAAGCGCUGAAAGCAUCUAAGCGCGAAACUUGCCUCAAGAUGAGUCUUCCCUGGGCCUUUAAGGUCCCUGAAGGAACGUUUAAGACUAAGACGUUGAUAGGCUGGGUGUGUAAGUGCAGCGAUGCAUUGAGCUAACCAGUACUAAUGAUCCGUGAGGCUUAACCUUACAACACCGAAGGUGUUU